rnacentral:tRNA from 1 species
UGGGGUAUAGCUCAGUGGUAGAGCUCUUACUCAGCAUGCAUGAGCCCUGGGUUCAAGCUCCAGUGCUACAA